AUUGUUUUUGUUUUAUCGCAGUGAAGGGUAGAUGAAAGACGAAUGGACAAACAAACCUUAACCGACUCAAAAUUCAGUGAAGUUAUGAACGAAUGAAAAUAUAUACGAUGGAAGAGUGAUGCAAUGUCCUCCUGGCGGGAACAUAUAAUGAAAGAUUGCCGAGAUUCAAGAUGUUGUUAUGUAUACUAUUCCUGAGAGGAACGUUAAAUAUACUUGGUGAACUUUGCAUAAUGGGUAGUAUUCUAGACAAUGGGAUUGUAUGCAUUCAGACGAGCGGAAAACCAGAACAUUUUAGGAGCUAGUUCUCCGAAUUACUUGUCAGUAAUCAGGCUUUUAAAUUCUUUGUACGUUUACAUCAUCUAAAUGGGCUUGGAAAAGAAAGGCAGCACGUUAUAAGUGGGUGACCGUUCUGACUUUAGGCAAAUGGACUGCGAAAUUAAUACAUGAAAAAAGAGUACAGAAUGCAGUUUUUAUCAUAAAGUGGAGGGAACCUUUUUUCAUAUUUGGCUGGAUGCCAAAUGAAAGAAGGUGAAAUGAUAAAUCUUUCGGCUUUGUAUAAACUAUAAUAUUACACAAUGUUGUGGAAGUAAUACUAGAGAGUGAGGAUAAGCUGAAUGCGAUAGUGAAAUAUUUAGAAACAAUGUUUUGUAAAAUGGAGAGAAUAAUACCUCUUAAGAAUCCAGAAAAACAGAAGCAAAUAAAUCGGCUCGACUCUAAUUAAUGCAAACAAUUGUCUGAUGUUGAAUAAAUGGAGUAUUAAGUGGAUAUACACUUUAAUACGUUUAUUGAAGUGACAAGUUUAGCAUACAUAUUUCAGAUGUUAAGUUCAAGAUGAGUAAUUCAUAAAAUCUCAAUUAGGAAUGUUCUUAGGAACUCAAUUUUACUGGA